rnacentral:rRNA from 1 species
GACGAACGCUGGCGGCGCGCCUAACACAUGCAAGUCGAACGGAGCUGAGAGAAGCUUGCUUUUCUUAGCUUAGUGGCGAACGGGUGAGUAACGCGUGAGUAACCUGCCCUGGAGUGGGGGACAACAGUUGGAAACGACUGCUAAUACCGCAUAAGCCCACGAUCCGGCAUCGGAUUGAGGGAAAAGGAUUUAUUCGCUUCAGGAUGGACUCGCGUCCAAUUAGCUAGUUGGUGAGGUAACGGCCCACCAAGGCGACGAUUGGUAGCCGGACUGAGAGGUUGAACGGCCACAUUGGGACUGAGACACGGCCCAGACUCCUACGGGAGGCAGCAGUGGGGGAUAUUGCACAAUGGGGGAAACCCUGAUGCAGCGACGCCGCGUGGAGGAAGAAGGUUUUCGGAUUGUAAACUCCUGUCGUUAGGGACGAUAAUGACGGUACCUAACAAGAAAGCACCGGC